rnacentral:rRNA from 1 species
GAUGAACGCUGGCGGCGUGCAUAACACAUUCAAGUCGAACGGAUCAUGGGGCUUGCCUCAUGGUUAGUGGCGGACGGGUGAGUAACGCGUGAGUAACCUACCUCUGUAUGCGGGAUAACGUCUGGAAACGGACGCUAAUACGGCAUAAUACAACGAAGUCACAUGAUUUUGUUGUCAAAGAUUUAUUGUACAGAGAUGGGCUCGCGUCCGAUUAGAUAGUUGGUAGGGUAAUGGCCUACCAAGUCUGCGAUCGGUAGCCGGACUGAGAGGUCGAACGGCCACAUUGGAACUGAGAAACGGUCCAGACUCCUACGGGAGGCAGCAGUGGGGAAUAUUGGGCAAUGGGCGAAAGCCUGACCCAGCGACGCCGCGUGAGGGAAGAAGGUCUUCGGAUUGUAAACCUUUGUUGAUGGGGAAGAAGAAAGUGACGGUACCCAUCGAGGAAGCCACGGCUAACUACGUGCCAGCAGCCGCGGUAAUACGUAGGUGGCAAGCGUUAUCCGGAUUUACUGGGUGUAAAGGGUGUGUAGGCGGAAAGAUAAGUCAGGUGUGAAAAUUACGGGCUCAACCCGUAAACUGCGCCUGAAACUAUUUUCCUUGAGUGUCGGAGGGGCAAACGGAAUUCCAAGUGUAGCGGUGAAAUGCGUAGAUAUUUGGAGGAACACCGGUGGCGAAGGCGGUUUGCUGGACGACAACUGACGCUGAUACACGAAAGUGUGGGGAGCAAACAGGAUUAGAUACCCUGGUAGUCCACACUGUAAACGAUGAAUGCUAGGUGUGGGGGAGCAAUCCUCCGUGCCGCAGUUAACACAAUAAGCAUUCCACCUGGGGAGUACGGCCGCAAGGUUGAAACUCAAAGGAAUUGACGGGAGCCCGCACAAGCAGUGGAGUAUGUGGUUUAAUUCGACGCAACGCGAAGAACCUUACCAGGACUUGACAUCCUAAGAAGUCGGCUUAAUGGCUGAUGUGCCCUUCGGGGAACUUAGAGACAGGUGGUGCAUGGUUGUCGUCAGCUCGUGUCGUGAGAUGUUGGGUUAAGUCCCGCAACGAGCGCAACCCUUACGGUCGGUUGCUACGAAAGAGCACUCCGGCCGGACUGCCGUUGAUAAAACGGAGGAAGGUGGGGACGACGUCAAAUCAUCAUGCCCCUUACGUUCUGGGCUACACACGUACUACAAUGGCGCAAACAAAGGGGAGCGAAGCCGCGAGGUGGAGCAAAUCUCAAAAAAGGCGUCUCAGUUCGGAUUGUAGGCUGCAACCCGCCUACAUGAAGUCGGAAUUGCUAGUAAUCGCAGGUCAGCAUACUGCGGUGAAUACGUUCCCGGGCUUUGUACACACCGCCCGUCAAACCAUGAAAGUUGGGAACACCCGAAGUCCGUAGCUUAACCGUAAGGAGAGCGCGGCCGAAGGUGGGUUCAAUGAUUGGGGUU